GGAAAACACUACACACACAAGGAAACAAAGAUCCAACAGAAAUGACUGAUAGCAGAAUCAAAUACAGAAUAUACAAUGAGUAUGUUUAAUGUUUCAAUAAGGAGAGGCUUGGGAAAAUGAGUAGUUUAGGAAGAAAGGAAGUCACAGAAAAGCACAUACAGCAUGAUUCCAUUGAUAUAUAAAGGUCAAAAAUAGAUCAAACCAAACAAUAGACUUUUUAGGAGUACAGACACAGAGGUUUAAAAAAUAACUAUGAAGAAAAGCAUAGAAAUGAUUAAUACAAUGCAUGAUGCUGGUUAUUUUUGGGGGAAGAAGGAGAUGUGAUUAGAUAAGGACAUACUGAUGACUUCUUGAGUGUGGUAAUAUGUUUCUUAACCUGAGGGGUAGGUUAAGAAACAUUUAUUGUUUUUAAAUUGUACAUUUAGAAACUUUAAAUUUAUAUUACAUUCACCUAUUGUAUGUAUGCUAAAGUUCAUAAUAAAAAGGAAAUAUAUAACAAAUUAUAUAUAAAAUCUGUUGAUUAUUUUUUCUUAGACCAUAUUUAUAAAUUCCACUAUCAGGGUAUUUCAACUGUAUGGCAAAGCCUGCUUUUCUUCUAG
rnacentral:lncRNA from 1 species